rnacentral:rRNA from 1 species
CCCUUAGAUGUUCUGGGCCGCACGCGCGCUACACUGACGAAUGCAACGAGCUUAUAACCUUGGCCGAAAGGUCUGGGUAAUCUCCAAAUUUCGUCGUGAUGGGGAUAGAUUAUUGCAAUUAUUAAUCUUCAACGAGGAAUGCCUAGUAAGCGCAAGUCAUCGGCUUGCGUUGAUUACGUCCCUGCCCUUUGUACACACCGCCCGUCGCUCCUACCGAUUGAAUGGUCCGGUGAAGCGUUCGGACCGUGGCCUUUGGACGGUUCGCCGUCUGUUGGCUGCGGGAAGUUCGUUAAACCUUAUCAUUUAGAGGAAGGAGAANUCGUAACA